AAGAUGGUGAGAGGGUUGAGGGGCGUCCCGGACAGGGCUGUGAUGAGGACCCCCUCGGGGCCCGUCCCACA
rnacentral:pre_miRNA from 10 species